GUGAAGUAUUAAAUGUAAGUAUUUUUAAUGAAAAUUUAAAUUUUUUAAUAAAAAAAUCAAAAUAUUUAACAGGAACAAAUUACAAUGAUCAUAAUAAUAAUACAACUUUUGAUGAAAAUAAAUUAUUAAUUGUUUUGAAAAAAAAUACAAAUCUGGAUUCUAAAAGCAAUAUUAAUCUGCUUAAAAUAAAUAAUGUUUUACAACAAAAGUAUAAACACUAUUUUGGUGAUUUGGAAAAUGUCAGUAGUAAUGAGCAGUACGACAAUAAUAGGGGUUAUCAUAAAGACACAAAUAAAUCCAAUUUUGCAGCAAUGAAACAGUUAGAUAAAUUAAAAGAAACUUUUACAAAAAGAGGUAACAAUACUAUUAUAAAUAGACAACAUACCAGUUACAGCAGUAGUGAUGAAGAAGAGGAUCAUACGAAACAGAAGGAAACAUAUAUUAACGGACGUAACAUGCGACAGCAUGAACAAUACAAACUAAAUGAUCAUACUAACAACAACAGUAACAGUAAUAUUAACAGUAACAACAACAGUAACAAUAACAGUAACAAUAACAGUAACAAUAACAGUAAUAGUAAUAGUAAUAGUAAUAGUAAUAGUAAUAGUAAUAGUAAUAGUAAGGAAAGUCAAGUAUAUUAUGUAAAUAACAAUAAUUCUAGUUAUAAUAACAACCUAGAUGGUUCUUUUAUAAAAGAUAUAUCACACAAUAAUACGCAUAAUAGUAAUAUGAAAAGAUGUGUAACAACAAAUAACAAUGAAAAUAACAAAGGAUAUGAGCGGUGUAACGAUGAAUAUUAUGAUAACAACACAUCUGAUUCAAAAAAUGAAGAAGAUAGUAACUCAUGUGAUGAAGAUAAUGAAGAAAUAAAAAACAGAAUUAAAACUUUUAAUAGUUUUAUAAAUAAUAAUGUAAAAGAUGUAUCUAAAAAUGAAAUACAAAUUAAUAAUGAAACAAUCAAUGAAGAUAUGUUUUUAAAAAUAGUUAAUAUAAUAAAAAAAAGAGAAAAGGAAAUGGAAACUUUUACUAACGCUCAGAAAAAUAAUGAGAUAUAUAAGAACAUACAUAAAUUUAAUAUGCUUUUGAACAAAUGCAAUACGCAGAUUGACAUUUAUAAGAAACGUUAUAGAAAUUUAAAGCAGGAUAUACAAAAUAUUAAUAGUGCCAAUAUGGUGAAAAAGUCAGAGUCUAUGUAUAAGUCCAUACGGGAACUUGACGACACUGUGGAGGCAUUAAGCAAA
rnacentral:lncRNA from 1 species